rnacentral:rRNA from 1 species
GAUGAACGCUAGCGGCAGGCUUAACACAUGCAAGUCGAGGGGUAUUGGAGGCUUGCUUCCAAGAGACCGGCGCACGGGUGCGUAACGCGUAUGCAACCUACCUUGAACAGGGGGAUAGCCCAGAGAAAUUUGGAUUAAUACCUUAUAGAAUGUUUAAAUGGCAUCAUUUUAAUAUUAAAGAUUUAUUGGUACAAGAUGAG